AUGCAGUACGAGGUGCGCUAUGUGGCCAUCUCGACAUACCAUCACGACUAUCUUGGUGUGAAGAUGACCAAGGAAGACGCGCAGAGGAUGGGCAUUACCUUGGAGAGGGACGAGUUCUUGAAGGUGCGUCCAAAUUGGUGUUAUGGAAAAGACGAGUCCUGGGUGGCAUUGGUGGAUCUUUGGUGUGAUGAGGCUAGGCCCUGGGCGUCUAUGAGAGUCAAAAACAAGGCUAACCGAGGGAAGGAGGGAGUACAUGCUCAGGGAAACCGAAAACACUAUCUCCACAAGGCUGUUAAUGAGGAGAAACUGAAGCGGCCGCUCUCACACAUGCAGGCAUGGGAGAUCGCCCAUACGCGGAAGGACCCCAAGCCUGGCGAGUCCAAGUACUACAGCAAGAAGACCGCGGGGAGGAAGAAGUCCUACUCCGAAGCGUAUCUGAAGUUACAUCCUGACACACCUGACCCCAUUGCGGCGGAUCUAGACGAGAGGGCGGUGGUGAGCAUGGGGCCCAAGGAGCACGGUCGGGAGGCGGUUCUCGAUGCUGUGAUCACUCCUACUAUCUCCUACACACAGCUCCGUCAGAUCGACCCGAGCCUGAGCCAGCGCAUGAGCCAGCCAGUGACCAGUGCACAGUCCCUCUUUCAGGAGCAACAAUCUGCCUACCUGGAGUACACACGCCAGGAGACCAUGGCGUGGCAUUAG
rnacentral:rRNA from 1 species